CCUACGGGGGGCAGCAGUGAGGAAUAUUGGUCAAUGGACGAGAGUCUGAACCAGCCAAGUAGCGUGAAGGAUGACUGCCCUAUGGGUUGUAAACUUCUUUUAUAUGGGAGUAAAAUGUUCCACGUGUGGGAUUUUGUAUGUACCAUAUGAAUAAGGAUCGGAUAACUCCGUUCCAGCCGCCGCGGUAAUACGGAGGAUCCGAGCGUUAUCCGGAUUUAUUGUGUUUAAAGGGAGCGAAGGUGGAUUGUUAAGUCAGUUGUGAAAGUUUGCGGCUCAACCGUAAAAUUGCAGUUGAAACUGGCAGGCUUGAGUAGAGUAGAGGGGGGCGGAAUUCGUGGUGUAGCGGUGAAAUGCGUAGAUAUGACGAAGAACUCCGAUUGCGAAGGCAGCUCACUGGACUGCAACUGACACUGAGGCUCGAAAGUGUGGGUAUCAAACAGGAUUAGAUACCCCUGUAGUC
rnacentral:rRNA from 1 species